CUGGUCAUGGUGGCGGCCAGCUGCCCCUAGCAGGGGGAGGCUGAGGAAGGGACGGAGGGAGCAGUGCCCAUGCCUUCUGUAGGCAGCACACCUGUUAAAGUGGUGCCACCCCGUGACCGCCUGCUUCCAUGACUCAGUCUGGCUUUGUCACCGCUUUAUCUUGUUCUCCACACCGUCCUCAAAAGUCAGCCGACGAGGAAGCCCUUGUGGAGGAUGUGCUCAGGAGACUGGCGUCCCGCCACCCUGUGCGCCCAGAGGUGGGGCCCCAGGCUUGAAGACACGGCUCGCCAUGGCGUCUGCCGGGUGUGGACCAAGCCAGGUGACUCCCUCCCUGCCCUGGACGCACGCUUGCUGGAAUGUCAUCCAUCAGCUCCUGGAAGUGAGCAAGCCC
rnacentral:lncRNA from 1 species